GAUGAACGCUGGCGGCGUGCCUAAUACAUGCAAGUCGAGCGAAUGGAUUAAGAGCUUGCUCUUAUGAAGUUAGCGGCGGACGGGUGAGUAACACGUGGGUAACCUGCCCAUAAGACUAGGAUAACUCCGGGAAACCGGGGCUAAUACCGGAUAACAUUUUGAACCGCAUGGUUCGAAAGUGAAAGGCGGCUUCGGCUGUCACUUAUGGAUGGACCCGCGUCGCAUGAGCUAGUUGGUGGGGUAACGGCCCACCAAGGCGACGAUGCGUAGCCGACCUGAGAGGGUGAUCGGCCACGCUGGGACUGAGACACGGCCCAGACUCCUACGGGAGGCAGCAGUAGGGAAUCUUCCGCAAUGGACGAAAGUCUGACGGAGCAACGCCGCGUGAGUGAAGAAGGUUUUCGGAUCGUAAAGCUCUGUUGUUUGAGACGAAUGUGCAAUUUUUGAAUAAGGAAUUGUAAUGACGGUAUUAAACGAGAAAGCCACGGCUAACUACGUGCCAGCCGCCGCCGUAA
rnacentral:rRNA from 1 species